UUUAAUUAAGACCCCAACUAAAAGAAGGCCCUAACUUUAAAUAGAUCAUCCAAUUAAUCUAUUAAGCCCAAAUUUCUUUAAAUAAAGCAAAGGCCCAAUUUUUAAAUGAAUCAAAAGAGGCCCAAGCCCAACACUCCACCAUCUCCACACCUCUCUCUCUCUAUCUCUAUCUCUAUCUCUAUCUCUAUCUCUCUCUUCGACAGAAUUGGGAAACUCCAUCCCGUCGUCUUCACCAAAAUCCGGCUGCCCAAUCAUCGCUCCCCGGUUGCGUCGACCCUCACGCCGGCGACCACCGCUCACCGGGAGAACCAGUGCUGCUGUCGCGCCGCUGCUCCGUCGCCAUCCAGAUCCGUCUGCACAGAGCCGUCGAGGGCCUGGUAGGGCCGAUGUCAGCCGCCGCUGUCCCAGCCUGUCGGUCAGUCUUCAAUUGACUCCGACUCCACCCCGAACAGACAUCAUGCAGCCCCGAAACGUCCCGGAACUAACCCGUUCAGCCCCGAAAGACUCCGAUCCCACGAAAGGUGCGUAAGAAAUCCGUCAGACCUAGGAGAUGAUGCUAAUUGACAUGGCGGAUACAAUCAAGUAGAUUUUUGAAGUGAAGCAGCCACAGCUCAUCAAACUGACCUGGGAGAAUCAAGAAGGUGGCGGCAGAAGCAAAAGUGGAGCAAAAGAGCAAAGAUCGAGACACCCUUAUUUUAAGGGUGCAAAAGUCAAAUCGCAAAGGCGUGCCCUAGGGAUUUUGGCCUCGGGCCUUCCUAUAUAUAGGGAUCAUUGAGACUUCAUUUAGGAGUCUUUCUCUUUUAGUCUUAGCUCACCUUUACACUUCAUUAAACACACAAUUCUCUGCGCACUUGGUAGCAAUGAGGUGAAAUUCUGGUUUCGUGGUGGUUUUGUUCUGUUUCAGUGUGUAACACCAUUCCUAGGGGGUGAGGAUACAAUCUAUUUCCUGUUGUUUUUAAGCCGUGACUUCAUCGCUUUGGAAGCUCGAUGUUCACUGUUCUGUUUCGAACCUAUUUUCUGAUGCUAUGGAAGUUUAGUUUACGUUUUA